GUAAACGAUGUCGACUUGGAGGUUGUUCCCUUGAGGAGUGGCUUCCGGAGCUAACGCGUUAAGUCGACCGCCUGGGGAGUACGGCCGCAAGGUUAAAACUCAAAUGAAUUGACGGGGGCCCGCACAAGCGGUGGAGCAUGUGGUUUAAUUCGAUGCAACGCGAAGAACCUUACCUGGUCUUGACAUCCACAGAAGUUUUCAGAGAUGGGAACGUGCCUUCGGGAACUGUGAGACAGGUGCUGCAUGGCUGUCGUCAGCUCGUGUUGUGAAAUGUUGGGUUAAGUCCCGCAACGAGCGCAACCCUUAUCCUUUGUUGCCAGCGGUCCGGCCGGGAACUCAAAGGAGACUGCCAGUGAUAAACUGGAGGAAGGUGGGGAUGACGUCAAGUCAUCAUGGCCCUUACGACCAGGGCUACACACGUGCUACAAUGGCAUAUACAAAGAGAAGCGACCUCGCGAGAGCAAGCGGACCUCAUAAAGUAUGUCGUAGUCCGGAUUGGAGUCUGCAACUCGACUCCAUGAAGUCGGAAUCGCUAGUAAUCGUGGAUCAGAAUGCCACGGUGAAUACGUUCCCGGGCCUUGUACACACCGCCCGUCACACCAUGGGAGUGGGUUGCAAAAGAAGUAGGUAGCUUAACCUUCGGGAGGGCGCUUACCACUUUGUGAUUCAUGACUGGGGUGAAGUCGUAACAAGGUAACCGUAGGGGAACCUGCGGUUGGAUCACCUCCUUA
rnacentral:rRNA from 1 species